UACGAAGGGGGCAAGCGUUGUUCGGAUUUACUGGGCGUACAGGGUGCGUAGGCGGUUGGAUAAGCCCUCCGUGAAAUCUCCAGGCUUAACCUGGAAAGUGCAGAGGGGACUGUUCAGCUAGAGGAUGGGAGAGGAGCGCGGAAUUCCCGGUGUAGCGGUGAAAUGCGUAGAGAUCGGGAGGAAGGCCGGUGGCGAAGGCGGCGCUCUGGAACAUUUCUGACGCUGAGGCUCGAAAGCGUGGGGAGCAAACAGG
rnacentral:rRNA from 1 species